rnacentral:rRNA from 1 species
AACGAACGCUGGCGGCAGGCUUAACACAUGCAAGUCGAACGAGUGUAGCAAUACACUAGUGGCGCACGGGUGCGUAACGCGUGGGAACCUUCCUCGUAGUUCGGAAUAACUCAGGGAAACUUGGGCUAAUACCGAAUGCCUCCUUCGGGAGAAAGAUUUAUCGCUACGAGAUGGGCCCGCGUCAGAUUAGGUAGUUGGUAGGGUAAUGGCCUACCAAGCCGACGAUCUGUAGCUGGCUGAGAGGAUGAUCAGCCACACUGGGACUGAGACACGGCCCAGACUCCUACGGGAGCAGCAGUGGGGAAUAUUGGACAAUGGGGGCAACCCUGAUCCAGCCAUGCCGCGUGAGUGAAG